GAUGAACGCUGGCGGCGUGCCUAAUACAUGCAAGUAGAACGCUGAAGGAGGAGCUUGCUCUUCUGGAUGAGUUGCGAACGGGUGAGUAACGCGUAGGUAACCUGCCUGGUAGCGGGGGAUAACUAUUGGAAACGAUAGCUAAUACCGCAUGACAACAGUUAUUGCAUGAUAACUGUUUAAAAGGGGCAACUGCUCCACUACCAGAUGGACCUGCGUUGUAUUAGCUAGUUGGUGAGGUAACGGCUCACCAAGGCGACGAUACAUAGCCGACCUGAGAGGGUGAUCGGCCAAACUGGGACUGAGACACGGCCCAGACUCCUACGGGAGGCAGCAGUAGGGAAUCUUCGGAAAUGGACGGAAGUCUGACCGAGCAACGCCGCGUGAGUGAAGAAGGUUUUCGGAUCGUAAAGCUCUGUUGUAAGAGAAGAACGAGUGUGAGAGUGGAAAGUUCACACUGUGACGGUAUCUUACCAGAAAGGGACGGCUAACUACGUG
rnacentral:rRNA from 1 species